GAUGAACGCUGGCGGCGUGAAUCCUUUUUGCAAGUCAAGGGGGCUCGCAAGACCAACCGGCAAACAAGGUAGUAAUAAUUAGGUACGUACCCAGGAGUCGGGCAUAGCUCGUCAAAAGACGGGGUAAUUCCCGAUAAUCUCGCAAGAGCAAAUUUUUUCGCUCCUGGAACGGCCUGAUCAAUAUCAGCUAGUUGGUAGGGUAACGGCCUACCAAGGCAAUGACGUCUAGGGAACCUGAGAGGGUGACCCCCACCGAUGGGACUGAAACACGGCCCAUACACCUACGGGUG
rnacentral:rRNA from 1 species